UUCGUCACACUAUCAUUAACUGAAUCCAUAGGUUAAUGAGGCGAACCGGGGGAACUGAAACAUCUAAGUACCCCGAGGAAAAGAAAUCAACCGAGAUUCCCCCAGUAGCGGCGAGCGAACGGGGAGGAGCCCAGAGCCUGAAUCAGUGUGUGUGUUAGUGGAAGCGUCUGGAAAGGCGCGCGAUACAGGGUGACAGCCCCGUACACAAAAAUGCACAUGCUGUGAGCUCGAUGAGUAGGGCGGGACACGUGGUAUCCUGUCUGAAUAUGGGGGGACCAUCCUCCAAGGCUAAAUACUCCUGACUGACCGAUAGUGAACCAGUACCGUGAGGGAAAGGCGAAAAGAACCCCGGCGAGGGGAGUGAAAAAGAACCUGAAACCGUGUACGUACAAGCAGUGGGAGCACAGAGCAAUCUGUGUGACUGCGUACCUUUUGUAUAAUGGGUCAGCGACUUAUAUUCUGUAGCAAGGUUAACCGAAUAGGGGAGCCGAAGGGAAACCGAGUCUUAACUGGGCGUUAAGUUGCAGGGUAUAGACCCGAAACCCGGUGAUCUAGCCAUGGGCAGGUUGAAGGUUGGGUAACACUAACUGGAGGACCGAACCGACUAAUGUUGAAAAAUUAGCGGAUGACUUGUGGCUGGGGGUGAAAGGCCAAUCAAACCGGGAGAUAGCUGGUUCUCCCCGAAAGCUAUUUAGGUAGCGCCUCGUGAAUUCAUCUCCGGGGGUAGAGCACUGUUUCGGCAAGGGGGUCAUCCCGACUUACCAACCCGAUGCAAACUGCGAAUACCGGAGAAUGUUAUCACGGGAGACACACGGCGGGUGCUAACGUCCGUCGUGAAGAGGGAAACAACCCAGACCGCCAGCUAAGGUCCCAAAGUCAUGGUUAAGUGGGAAACGAUGUGGGAAGGCCCAGACAGCCAGGAUGUUGGCUUAGAAGCAGCCAUCAUUUAAAGAAAGCGUAAUAGCUCACUGGUCGAGUCGGCCUGCGCGGAAGAUGUAACGGGGCUAAACCAUGCACCGAAGCUGCGGCAGCGACACUAUGUGUUGUUGGGUAGGGGAGCGUUCUGUAAGCCUGUGAAGGUGUGCUGUGAGGCAUGCUGGAGGUAUCAGAAGUGCGAAUGCUGACAUAAGUAACGAUAAAGCGGGUGAAAAGCCCGCUCGCCGGAAGACCAAGGGUUCCUGUCCAACGUUAAUCGGGGCAGGGUGAGUCGACCCCUAAGGCGAGGCCGAAAGGCGUAGUCGAUGGGAAACAGGUUAAUAUUCCUGUACUUGGUGUUACUGCGAAGGGGGGACGGAGAAGGCUAUGUUGGCCGGGCGACGGUUGUCCCGGUUUAAGCGUGUAGGCUGGUUUUCCAGGCAAAUCCGGAAAAUCAAGGCUGAGGCGUGAUGACGAGGCACUACGGUGCUGAAGCAACAAAUGCCCUGCUUCCAGGAAAAGCCUCUAAGCAUCAGGUAACAUCAAAUCGUACCCCAAACCGACACAGGUGGUCAGGUAGAGAAUACCAAGGCGCUUGAGAGAACUCGGGUGAAGGAACUAGGCAAAAUGGUGCCGUAACUUCGGGAGAAGGCACGCUGAUAUGUAGGUGAAGCGACUUGCUCGUGGAGCUGAAAUCAGUCGAAGAUACCAGCUGGCUGCAACUGUUUAUUAAAAACACAGCACUGUGCAAACACGAAAGUGGACGUAUACGGUGUGACGCCUGCCCGGUGCCGGAAGGUUAAUUGAUGGGGUCAGCGCAAGCGAAGCUCUUGAUCGAAGCCCCGGUAAACGGCGGCCGUAACUAUAACGGUCCUAAGGUAGCGAAAUUCCUUGUCGGGUAAGUUCCGACCUGCACGAAUGGCGUAAUGAUGGCCAGGCUGUCUCCACCCGAGACUCAGUGAAAUUGAACUCGCUGUGAAGAUGCAGUGUACCCGCGGCAAGACGGAAAGACCCCGUGAACCUUUACUAUAGCUUGACACUGAACAUUGAGCCUUGAUGUGUAGGAUAGGUGGGAGGCUUUGAAGUGUGGACGCCAGUCUGCAUGGAGCCGACCUUGAAAUACCACCCUUUAAUGUUUGAUGUUCUAACGUUGACCCGUAAUCCGGGUUGCGGACAGUGUCUGGUGGGUAGUUUGACUGGGGCGGUCUCCUCCUAAAGAGUAACGGAGGAGCACGAAGGUUGGCUAAUCCUGGUCGGACAUCAGGAGGUUAGUGCAAUGGCAUAAGCCAGCUUGACUGCGAGCGUGACGGCGCGAGCAGGUGCGAAAGCAGGUCAUAGUGAUCCGGUGGUUCUGAAUGGAAGGGCCAUCGCUCAACGGAUAAAAGGUACUCCGGGGAUAACAGGCUGAUACCGCCCAAGAGUUCAUAUCGACGGCGGUGUUUGGCACCUCGAUGUCGGCUCAUCACAUCCUGGGGCUGAAGUAGGUCCCAAGGGUAUGGCUGUUCGCCAUUUAAAGUGGUACGCGAGCUGGGUUUAGAACGUCGUGAGACAGUUCGGUCCCUAUCUGCCGUGGGCGCUGGAGAACUGAGGGGGGCUGCUCCUAGUACGAGAGGACCGGAGUGGACGCAUCACUGGUGUUCGGGUUGUCAUGCCAAUGGCACUGCCCGGUAGCUAAAUGCGGAAGAGAUAAGUGCUGAAAGCAUCUAAGCACGAAACUUGCCCCGAGAUGAGUUCUCCCUGACUCCUUGAGAGUCCUGAAGGAACGUUGAAGACGACGACGUUGAUAGGCCGGGUGUGUAAGCGCAGCGAUGCGUUGAGCUAACCGGUACUAAUGAACCGUGAGGCUUAACCU
rnacentral:rRNA from 1 species